rnacentral:rRNA from 1 species
GACGAACGCUGGCGGCGUGCUUAACACAUGCAAGUCGAACGCUGAAGCUCAGCUUUUGUUGGGUGGAUGAGUGGCGAACGGGUGAGUAACACGUGAGUAACCUGCCUCCUUCUUUGGGAUAACGCCCGGAAACGGGUGCUAAUACUGGAUAUUCACUGGUCUUCGCAUGGGGGUUGGUGGAAAGGGUUUUUCUGGUGGGGGAUGGGCUCGCGGCCUAUCAGCUUGUUGGUGGGGUGAUGGCCUACCAAGGCUUUGACGGGUAGCCGGCCUGAGAGGGUGACCGGUAACAUUGGGACUGAGAUACGGCCCAGACUCCUACGGGAGGCAGCAGUGGGGACUAUUGCACAAUGGGCGCAAGCCUGAUGCAGCGACGCCGCGUGAGGGAUGGAGGCCUUCGGGUUGUGAACCUCUUUCGCUCAUGGUCAAGCCGCAACAAUGGUUGUGGUGAGGGUAGUGGGUAAAGAAGCGCCGGCUAACUACGUG